GACGAACGCUGGCGGCGUGCUUAACACAUGCAAGUCGAACGGAAAGGCCCUGCUUUUGUGGGGGGCUCGAGUGGCGAACGGGUGAGUAACACGUGAGUAACCUGCCCUUGACUUUGGGAUAACUUCAGGAAACUGGGGCUAAUACCGGAUAGGAGCUCCUGCUGCAUGGUGGGGGUUGGAAAGUUUCGGCGGUUGGGGUUGGACUCGCGGCUUAUCAGCUUGUUGGUGGGGUAGUGGCUUACCAAGGCUUUGACGGGUAGCCGGCCUGAGAGGGUGACCGGCCACAUUGGGACUGAGAUACGGCCCAGACUCCUACGGGAGGCAGCAGUGGGGAAUAUUGCACAAUGGGCGGAAGCCUGAUGCAGCAACGCCGCGUGCGGGAUGACGGCCUUCGGGUUGUAAACCGCUUUCGCCUGUGACGAAGCGUGAGUGACGGUAAUGGGUAAAGAAGCACCGGCUAACUACGUG
rnacentral:rRNA from 1 species